AUUAAUAGCAUAGAGUCUGGUUAUGGGGUGAGGCUGAUAUAUCUCUCAUCCAUAAUAAAUGACCUGCAGGGAAAAGAAGAAUUGUCCUUGCAGUCACUGGCUUUGUAAGGUGGCUCACCUUUCUGCUUGAGAGAUUUUUUUACCAGUGCAUAUUUAGAGGAAUGAGAACUAUAAAGAAGAUGAAGGUACAUCAAACAUUUAUCUCAAGAGCUUCAUUUUCUAAGGAAUGGCAGGUUAUGUCACACAAUUUCUCAGAGGGGCAAAGACUCCUAAGCCUUUCCUGGUUCUCAUGGAGAUGGAUGGCAUGGACUACAUGGUGUGGGAUGGAUAGUCAGAGAUAAAUUUUCCAUUUAGAGACAUUGAGUCCAAGCAGUACAUUUCUCACAAGACUAAAAGUCUCAGAAACAAUGAAAUUGUUAUGAGAAAAACAAAACAGAAAAAUCCACUAGGAAAUAGUAUUGAGAACUAAUUUAAAAUCCAUCUAGAAUACCUUUAAAUCUCACUGGUGAAAACCCACCAAUGGUGGCCUCCAAGUCAUACUAUUUGUCCUCUAUGCCUCUUUUCUACCACAACUACCUGCACUUCCACCCACUGAUAUAACCCAGAAGCAAGAUUUAACACACUACUACUGCUACUACAGUUUAUUUGUUUACUUAUUCCUAUUAAACGAGUCCAUUACCUAAAUAUCUAAAAAGGAUAAUUAGUGUCUAUAAAAGCAUCUCAAGUGCAAAGUGCUUUGCAAUUAUCAUUUAACCAAGAAAUAUGCUUUCACAUAUGUAAGGUUUUUUAAACAUAUUUUACAUGGAGGUUUUCUCCCAAUAAUAAUUUUGAUAGGUAACAUUCACUGAACACUUAACCACAUACUAGGCACUAUUCCAACAGUUUUCUACCGACUAGUUUAUUUAGUCAUCUGAAUUUGAUGAGGUUGGACAAUUAUUAGUCUGUUAUUACAAUUGAUGAAGAAACAGAGGCUAAGAUAAAGUAACCUAGAGUUAAAUAGCUAGUGAGUACUGAAACUAAGUUUUGAAUCCAAUCUGUUUCUAGAAAUUUCACUCUUAACAUUACCCAACAUAUAAUAAACGAUGAAAGCACAAAGGAGCGCUAGUAAAUGAUUCAUUCAACAAAUGGUUAUUUAGUACCUACUGUGAGUCAUUCUACAUGAUUUAUUUUUUUGUUUUUUGUCUUUUUAGGGCCACACCCCUGGCAUAUGGAGGUUCCCAGGCUAGGGGUUGAAAUGGAGCUAUAACUGCCGGCCUAUGCCACAGCCACAGCAAUGCCAGAUCCAAGCCAUAUCUAUGACCUACACCACAGCUUAUGGCAAUGCUGGAUCCUUAACCCACUGAGUGAGGCCAGGGAUUGAACCUGCGUCCUCAUGAAUGCUGGUCAUAUUUGUUUCCUCUGAGCCGCAAUGGGAACUCCAUGCUGCAUGUUAAGCAUUAGAAGGGUGAUGAGUAUGUCCUUUGUAUGAAGUGGGAAACCAUGCAAUAAAACAAACCAUACAAAAAGAGAAAGCAAAUACACAGUAAUUAUGAUAAUUAACUCAGGAUUCCUAUUCCUAUUUUAUAUCCCAGUAAUCCAUAAGACCCAUGCCUCACCAAGUUGUUCAAUUCUCAAAUUUAAGACUCAAAUCCAAUCAAAAAUCUGUCAGGUCUACAUCCAAAGUCUAUUUCCAAUUUGACUUUUAUCAGUGCAUCUCUAAUACCUAAUAGCAUCAUAAACCAGCCCACACCUGGGCUACUGCUCCAAUCUCCCCACCGUUCUUCCUGCUUCUCUUUCCCCUAUUCUCUCCAACAUGUCUCUAUCUGAUGGGACUCUGAAUUCUACUCAUUCUGUCCUUGGAAUCAAUCUCAACCUGCAUCUUUCUUGUUAUUGUCCUAAUUCAGUUUCAUGUAUUUCAGACUCUUUCAGUGCUAAGUCAUGAACUAUGGAACACCAAGGAGCCCUAGAAUUGUGGUAAGAGGUCUCUGGAGACAUAUGUGCAUGUAAAACUUAACGCAGUUUCUGUAAGGACAGGUACAGCCACCACCAAGUGGAAAUAAGGAAAAUAUACAUUUAAAACAGGCUUCCACCUUGAAAAAUUAGGAACCACUGACUUAGACCACUUGACCAAUGGCCUUCGGCUCUUGUUUUGGCCUCUCUUUUAUACAUUAUAUGUUUCCUUCACUUUCAACACUGUUCCUCUCAAAUAUAUGGUUCUGAGCAUGUCAUUAGCAUGCUAAGACACUGCUGUCUUCCUAUUAUCUAAGAGAAAAUAUCUUACCUCCUUAGCCUGUGGUUUAUUCUCCUUUGAACCACUCUCUCCUUCUUGCACCUUCAUUACUAUACCUGUUAAUUUGCUGGUCAUUAGAUACAAAAAAAAAUCUUCAUGACUUCAUGUUUAGUUCAUGUUUUAUUCAUGUUUUGGCUAUAAUAUCUUUUUGUAUUCUUUAUCUUCCAGAGGAACUAUUUCAAGACCAAGCUGAAUUGCCAUUUCUGUGGAGAUUUUCCCAUUCUUUCUAUGCAGAAUAUGUUAAUAAUUCUAUCACAUAUGCUUCUAUAGUGUUAUGAAGUAUAAUAAAAUUACACAUCACAAUUUUGUUCUCUUGAUAGCAUGGCCUAAGAGCAGAAAUUUUAAAAAUAUAAAGGGUCCCACCAGAUCCUAACAUGUAUUCUGGUCCAUAGUGUGCAUGUCUCUAUUUGGUAUAUAAGUAAUAUCUUUACCUGUCUUAUUUCAUUUUAAACUGAUAAAAUAUGCAAGCUCUAUUCUUUCAAGUAUCAUCCUAUUUUCAAUUCUUGCUUAUAAACUGUGAAAACAAAUAUACCUAUAUUUAUCGACACCUUAAGUCUUGAUUUAUAAACACAUUUAAUUAGGGUUAACAACCUACUAUUUGAGCUCUCUUUCUUAGACUCACCCUUCUCCAAAUUCCAUCUAUUUUAUAGCUAGAGACUUAUUUUCAAAAUAAGAAGUUUGAUUGUGUUCCUCCCUUGCAUUACAAGCCCUUGCAUGGCUCAAAUAAAGUUCAAGCGUCUUUCCACUGUUUACUAGAGCCUUCCUUCCUGGCCACUACUUAUCUAUUCCGUCUUGUCUCUCUCUACUCUCCACUAUAACUGCCCAAAGCUCCCUACAUGCUAUUCUAUGCUAUAGGCAGGUCAAACUUGUUUUAGUUUCUCUUUUAUCACAUACCUUUGAGAAUGUUGCUAUUCUAGGUCUCUGUUUAUGCAUCCUUCCCCUAUCAUCUUCCUUCCAAUCCCUUGGUGUCCUUUAGACCUACUAUCUGAACUUAAAAAUUAGCUAGCCCAUCACUUUUCAGGACCAACCCUAUACCUUCCCCGCCAGCAGAACACAGUAGCUCUCCUUCCUCUGUGUCUCAUUGUACUCUGCUCUUGUCCCAUCAUAGCAUUUACCAGGGUUUAAUGUUACUUCCUGUUCACUUGUCUAUAUGCCUCAAAACUACAGAAUCUUUGCCUCCUAGAACUAGCUUAUCCAUCACUUCAUAACUUUGCACAGUCUCUGGCACACAGUAGAUAUUAUGUGAAUAUUUGUUGAAUGGAUGAAUGUGAAUUAUUGUUCAGAAUUUGAACUCAACCAAAAUAUCAAAAGCAACAUGGGAUCUUAAAAAAAUAAAUAAAUAAAAUCUCAAGCUGGUUCCAAAGAUUCUAAGAAGACUCUCAAGCCAAAGGUGAUUCUGAGCCUUUGGCUGGGAGAAAAGGGUUUUACCCAGAGAAAAAAAGGAUACUUAUGGUGAAUUAGACCUUGAGGAACCAAAUCUGGUUAAUAAGUCCUAAUCAUUUAAAAAACUGAAAACAUGUUUUUCUCAAAGAAAAGUUGAGUAUUGGGUGUGGGUUUCCUUCAUAACAAAUAAAGGAGAAAAGACAGACCUACAGGUAGGAAACAAAGAUUAUGUAUCUGAAUUUGGUAUGUGACCUUGAAGAAGUCAUUUUCCAUUUUUCGUCCUGUUUCAACCGUCAGGAUCCCAGCUGAUUGGUCUCUGUUUAAUGAUUCUAGAAAACAGCCCUUAUCCUCUGUGACCCACUAUUGCAAUAUAUCCCUAAUGGCAUGCAAUUUUCUACCCUGAUACAUCCUCUAAACAACCAAAAAAUUCAUUUCUGAAAUUUAAAAAAAGUCAUGUCACCAAUGGUUUAUACAUUCCAAAUAGUUUUUGAUGUUCCGGCUUAAGCAUGGAUCCAUGCCCAAAUCAAUCAAAUAAUUCACCUCCUUCCCAUCAGAUUUGUUCAUAUCCCAUUGGCUUAAAACCUUGGCCAGAACAAUUUAAAAAAAGAUAUUUUCUUGUUCGGGGUGUUGCCAGACUGGUAGGAUAUCAGCCUCUAAGCCCAGCUAUAAGCAUAUGUUUAGAGCCAAUCUGUAAAGGAAGAUGGCAGAAAGGAGAGCAAAGCAGAGAUGGGAUGAGGCUGAGACCUGUUCCUGAUACCAAUAUUUGUCUUUAGAUCCAGUCAAGUCCUAAUGCAAUCUGUGGUUUUUAGUUAUUGUGAGUUGCCCUACUAUCAUUUUUAAUAGUUAUAUUAAUUUAUAUUUUAAAGCGAAUCUCAAUAUCUGUAUAUAACAAUGGGAAAAUGGCACCUUUUUUAAGGUUUUUUAAAUCACGGAGUGCCUGUUGUGGAGCAGUGGUUAACGAAUCCAACUAGGAAACAUGAGGUUGCAGGUUCGAUCCCUGGCCUUGCUCAGUGGGUUGAGGAUCCAGCAUUGCCAUGAGCUGUGAUAUGGGUCGCAGACAUGGCUCAGAUCUCAUGUUGCUGUGGCUCUGGCGUAGGCCGAAAGAUACAGCUCCGAUUAGACCCCUAUCCUGGGAAUCUCCGUAUGCCGCAAAAGCGGCCCUAGAAAAAGC
rnacentral:lncRNA from 1 species